GACGAACGCUGGCGGCGUGCUUAACACAUGCAAGUCGAACGGAAAGGCCCUGCUUUUGUGGGGUGCUCGAGUGGCGAACGGGUGAGUAACACGUGAGUAACCUGCCCUUGACUUUGGGAUAACUUCAGGAAACUGGGGCUAAUACCGGAUAGGAGCUCCUGCUGCAUGGUGGGGGUUGGAAAGUUUCGGCGGUUGGGGAUGGACUCGCGGCUUAUCAGCUUGUUGGUGGGGUAGUGGCUUACCAAGGCUUUGACGGGUAGCCGGCCUGAGAGGGUGACCGGCACCAUUGGGGGAUGAGACGCGGCAGGACGCCCGGGGGGGGAGAGAAGGGGGAAUUAUGGAAAAAGGGCGGGGGGCGGGACCCAGAACCCCCGGGUGGGGAAGGGGGCCUGGGGGUUGUAAACCUCUUUCGCCUGGGAAAGAGGGGGGAGGAGGGUGAGGGGAAAAAGAGCACAGGGCAAACUCGGGC
rnacentral:rRNA from 1 species